rnacentral:rRNA from 1 species
GAUGAACGCUGGCGGCGUGCCUAAUACAUGCAAGUCGAGCGAACGGACGAGAAGCUUGCUUCUCUGAUGUUAGCGGCGGACGGGUGAGUAACACGUGGAUAACCUACCUAUAAGACUGGGAUAACUUCGGGAAACCGGAGCUAAUACCGGAUAAUAUUUUGAACCGCAUGGUUCAAAAGUGAAAGACGGUCUUGCUGUCACUUAUAGAUGGAUCCGCGCUGCAUUAGCUAGUUGGUAAGGUAACGGCUUACCAAGGCAACGAUGCAUAGCCGACCUGAGAGGGUGAUCGGCCACACUGGAACUGAGACACGGUCCAGACUCCUACGGGAGGCAGCAGUAGGGAAUCUUCCGCAAUGGGCGAAAGCCUGACGGAGCAACGCCGCGUGAGUGAUGAAGGUCUUCGGAUCGUAAAACUCUGUUAUUAGGGAAGAACAUAUGUGUAAGUAACUGUGCACAGCGUGACGGUACCUAAUCAGAAAGACACGGCUAACUACGUG